rnacentral:sRNA from 1 species
UUUAAGUGUGCAAGGGUUUCAGCCCUAAAACAAAAGG